UGGGUCACAACUUUAAAGGUCAUUUAUAUUUCACAACCACCAACACUUAGAAACAAAUAGUAAGUGUGUAAAAUUGUUGAUGGAGAGUGUAAAGGAUGCGAGGAUGCUGCUUAGAUCCAAGAGACUUACAUAAGCUGAUGAGGAAAAUGCAAAUGUCCCCAGAAUUGGCAAGGAUGGGGCACAGCUCAUAGCAACACAGCUCCGCCCCUCAGAGGGACUCAGUCACUCACUAAGCACUGGAAGCAAGCUCAGGCUGAGAGGAUGGAGUGCACUGCUGUGGGGACUGCAAAUCACUCAGAGGAGAUGUCCAUGUCUGCUACAUCCCAGGACCUCAGAGCUCCUUCCUGACACAUCAGAAUGCAUUGCCUGUGUGCCACAACCCUGUUUCUUGAGUCUCCAGGGAGGACAGACGUCCAGUAUCCAAACCAACCAGCCCAGACAAGACCAACCUUGUCUACAUACCAGGAGCAGCUCUGGCAUUUGUUCACCAGCCUCACUCUACAGAUUUAAAUCUUCUCACUCCCUCAGUCUCCCUGGAGCAGUUUCAAAAAUAAAUCUGUUUCUAACACCUGAA